rnacentral:lncRNA from 1 species
UAUUAAUGAAUAUAUGUAUAUGUAUAUAUGUAUAUAUUCGGCUGGGAUACUAUCGAUAGCACCAAGAAUUUAGUACUAUCGAAUUUUUCACCGUUAAAUUUAAUCCUUUAAUUAUUUUUACCCGUUAGAUUAUACUAUUCAACCAACCACUCACUCAACCCUAGAAAACCCACAUCAUUCUAACCACACAUUUUUCAAUCCAAGAAUUAAAAAACUAAUAGUACCAAUAGCUCGUGCUAUUAAUAGUAUUCAUAUAUAAAGAGAGAGAGAGAGAGAGAGAGAGAGAGAGAGAGUGAGAGUGAGAGAGUAAAAUUGUGGAUUAGAUUUCUAAAAAAAAAUGGUAUCUAAAUGUUGA